UGCCUCCACCUCCUCUGCUGGGGGAUGCAAGCCCUUACCUGGGUAAUGGGGAGGGGGGCUGCAGGUGAACAUCACUCCCCAGCCUUCGGUGAUCUUCACGGGGUCUCGCUCUUCUGCAGAGAAUUCCUGCAAAACUAAACACACGCGGUGAAACUCGCCCGUGGGCGGGGGGAGCAGCUGGGGGAGCUGCAGUGGCCAUCUGCCCCUCCGUGGGGUGGCAUUUCCAGUGGCUUUGCAGAGAGGUACAGAAGUAUCUGAGCACUGACUCUGUCGUGCAUCAAACACGCCAGUGGGAUUUCUGCACCACGUUCACAACUCCUCCCCAAACUUCUCUUUAUUAAUGGGGCUGGGGGGGCUUGCUGUCCCCCCAGCGUUACUGCGGCUGCAUUUCAUUUGCUUUAUGCAGACAAAGAAGGGACUUACAGCCAAAGCGGAGGGACGCUUCCCUGCUGACCACCGUGCCACGGGCGUUGGUUGCCACGCACUGGGUGUCCCUGGCGGUGACAGAGCUAUAUCUGGAAUAAAACGAGGAGCAAUGUGAGAAUCACAGCCCAUCUGUCACCCAGCCCCAAGCAGGGCUUCGGGCAGAUUGUGUGCGUUCCCCACUGAGCAUCCUGCACCGACUCUGCUAUGCCACAGGAGCAGACGUGCUUAGAGAUGGGCACGCGAAGGAGCCCUGGCACAGCCUCUUGUGAAGCACAGAUGGGGAGGGAGCUGGGAAUGCCAGGGUGCUCUCAUUGUCCUGGAAGCGAGGACAUGCCGCUGCCUCCCCUGUACCAACACUGCUGCUUUGUUCUUCCUGUGCCCUAGGAGAGCACAGUCUGGGUGUUCACAGCUAGAGCUCAGCUCUGCUGCUGACCUCCUGCACACACCUGGCUGCUCCCUCCAUCCCUGCAGCUGCAGUAUCCUCAGCUCUCUCUUUGUGUCACGCCUGCUGCUUGCAGCUGGGUGCAAACCGGUGCUGCAGAUGCUAGAAAUUGCAAUGCAAAUAGGCAAGAACAAAGCAGAAAGCUGCCUGGAAACCUAUAACCCAAAAUCAGCGAGCGAGGUAAUCACUGCCGGCACACAUCCCUGGUACCUCGAGCCAUGCCCCUUAGCAGGGAUGGGAUUCGAGGCAGCGUCCUCCUCUAUAUGGUGAUAAAUGAGAGAUGCCUGGCUGCCCCCAGCAUCCUUCCAUGCUUUGCAAUUGAAUUAAUAACCAUCUUAAAACCGCCAUGCCAACCUGCAAUCUGCUUCCUUCCCCGCAGUACGCAGCAUGGUCACCGGUUAAAUGAAGUGACUCCCGUUAAGUGUGAUGUUUUAUGCAAGAGUAACUUCCAGCAGGGAUCGGCUCUCCGGGCUGAGGGGAAGCAGCCCUUCACCUGCAGCUCCCGGGGUUGCCCUCGUGUUCAUGGCAUGCGGAGACCAGGGCCAAAACGAGAGAGGGGCUGCGUUAAUUGGCUCUGCGGGCUCGGAGCAGCUGUUUGCUCCCCAUGUCUGGUCCUCACAUCCAGGCACUGCCCAAUUAGUGGGGGCUCUGCUCCGGCCAGCGUGCCUGUCCCUAAAGCUUUGGAGUGAGAGAAGCAGUUUUGUGAAGGUCGUAUUGCCUCCAGAUCUGUGGCAGUGCUUUUUUUUUUUUUCCUUCUGGGAUUGUUACAUUCACCAAAGAGAAGCUUCUCUGUGCUGGAAAUCGCCUCCGUUGGUUCAGCUUCUCCUGUGCUGCUCUCAGCUGGAAAUAGCUCCUUGCUGGCCAGCACUUAACAUAAUCAGGAGUUAAUGGAGAAUUAAGAAAGACGUGGUGUAUUCGUUGUGUUCUGAGCGACGGCAGUCAACGGAUUAAGGAUGGGCAGAUUUGCAUUCGGAGAUUAAUAGGCAGCACGUGGUAAAUAACUUCCAAUUAUUGAACAAAUGUUAUGUUAUAGUCAGUCCCAUACAUGCCUCCUCUCAUGGGAACUCUUUCCCAAUGAGGUUUGGCCAAUCAUCCCUCCCAUCCCACCCGGAGCCCCGCAUCCUCCGCCGUCCCUUAUUCUCCACCAAGGUUAUGGGCUACCACUCUCAGGCAUUGAUUUUCUCAUACGCAGUCAAUGCCAGAAGUUCAGGCAGAUUUUAUGUACAGUUCCAAGGUGUCUGGUUGGCGUUGGAGGUGAAAUCCUGCAUCUCACUCAUUAAGCGAAACGACCGUUAGAUUAAAGCGAUAAUUGAACUGUUACAAGUUCAGGCGGUGGGUAGAGCCGGGAACUGAGAUCAAAGCAGAGCAGCAGAUCUGAGCACCUCCGAGACCCAUCAUCUCAGCUGCUGCUGUCACCACAGAGCUCCCCUUUUUAAUGUUACCACAACAAGACCUUCCCAGGGCUCUGUCAUUCGGGCAGAAGGGAGAAGGCAAACACAGAACAACAUCUUUGAGCCUGCAAGCUGCGUGUGCAAGAGGCAGAGGGAUCCCUUCAGAGCUGGGCAUGCCAUAUGCAGCCCCUACUUCUGCGCUGAAAUCCAGCUAGGAGCAGAAAUUAUUCUCAAUGUGCUGCUGUGUCUGGCUGGAACAACAUUCGUUUUGAAGAAAAAUCAGCCUUAACACCAAAAUAAAUAGGGAAAGGUGGAAAUGGAAUAUCGGAACAUUAAGAUCGGGAGAAAUAGCUGCAGAAACGUUUUGAACAUUUCAGCGCUCCGAGAGUGAUUUGUGCUGAUGUCUGGGAGGGAAAAAUACCGUAUAAUGAAAUACACCAGCAAGGCCGUAAUCUCUGAGUGUAAAAACCAUCCCAGACCUUAUACCAGAAAUUGAUGGAAUAGAACUCAGAAUAGAAC